CCGGUGAUUGAGCGCACUGGCCAAGCAGAAGCAGGGCCGGUGUUCUGACAAUUUGUGUUGUGCUACCAUCAGAACAUCGAUGUGAAAACCGCAGUGGAAGGUGGACAAAAAUGCAGCAGCACCCGAUAGGAGCGGCCCCUCACUGUUGUUUGAGUGUGCAGCUCUGAUUAACCAACGUCAAAUGCUUGAAAAUCUUGCUGUGUACCCAAAAAUAACUGUAUGGGGAAAACUGACAAAAAUAUACCGACGCCGACAUUCACCCCCUUCCUCCCCACCACCACCAGGACGGUCACUGUCCAUACAUCGCAGGGGGUAGGCUCCGCCCUUUCCUUCGUCUCAGGCAGGAAGAGCAAGAAUCUACGACCCUCUGGAUUCGAGCUACACCAAAGAACUUUAUCAUCUUAUCUUUUGCUUUCAUUAGCUGGUCAGCUGUUAAAUAAAUGU